rnacentral:miRNA from 1 species
AUGCACCUGGGCAAGGAUUCGGA